UACGUAGGGAGCGAGCGUUAUCCGGAUUUAUUGGGUGUAAAGGGUGCGUAGACGGGCAUACAAGUUGGUUGUGAAAUCCCUCGGCUUAACUGAGGAACUGCAACCAAAACUGUAUAUCUUGAGUACAGGAGAGGUAAGUGGAAUUCCUAGUGUAGCGGUGAAAUGCGUAGAUAUUAGGAGGAACACCAGUGGCGAAGGCGACUUACUGGACUGAAACUGACGUUGAGGCACGAAAGUGUGGGGAGCAAACA
rnacentral:rRNA from 1 species